GAUGAACGCUGGCGGCGUGCUUAACACAUGCAAGUCGAACGAGAAGUGGAGACGGAAACCUUCGGGCGGAAGACUUUAUUUCGAGUGGCGGACGGGUGAGUAACGCGUGGGUAACCUGCCUCAUACAGGGGGAUAACAGUUGGAAACGACUGUUAAUACCGCAUAAGACCACCGCACCGCAUGGUGCGGGGGUAAAAACUCCGGUGGUAUGAGAUGGACCCGCGUUCGAUUAGCCAGUUGGCGGGGUAACGGCCCACCAAAGCGACGAUCGAUAGCCGAUCUGAGAGGAUGACCGGCCACAUUGGGACUGAGACACGGCCCAAACUCCUACGGGAGGCAGCAGUGGGGAAUAUUGCACAAUGGGGGAAACCCUGAUGCAGCGACGCCGCGUGAGUGAAGAAGUAUUUCGGUAUGUAAAGCUCUAUCAGCAGGGAAGAAAAUGACGGUACCUGAGGAAGAAGCCCCGGCUAACUACGUG
rnacentral:rRNA from 1 species